rnacentral:tRNA from 1 species
GCCUGGCUAGCUCAGUCCGUAGAGCAUGAGACUCUUAAUCCCAUGGUCAUGGGUUCGUGCCACACGUUGGGCA